AAUUUUGGACAAUGGGGGAAACCCUGAUCCAGCCAUCCCGCGUGUAUGAUGAAGGCUUUCUGGUUGUAAAGUACUUUUGGCAGAGAAGAAAAGGCUUUCCCUAUUACGGGAAUCCGUUGACGGUUUCUGCAGAAUAAGCACGGGCUAACUACGUGCCACCAGCCGCGGUAAUACGUAGGGUGCAAGCGUUAAUCGGAAUUACUGGGCGGAAAGCGUGUGUAGGCGGUUCGGAAAGAAAGGUGUGAAAUCCCAGGGCUCAACCUUGGAACUGCAUGUUUAACUGCCGAGCUAGAGUAUGUCAGAGGGGGGUAGAAUUCCACAUGUAGCAGUGAAAUGCGUAGAUAUGUGGAGGAAUACCGAUGGCGAAGGCAGCCCCCUGGGAUAAUACUGACGCUCAGACACGAAAGCGUGGGGAGCAAACAGG
rnacentral:rRNA from 1 species